UACGGGGGGGCAAGCGUUGUUCGGAAUUACUGGGCGUAAAGGGCGCGUAGGCGGUCUGUUAAGUCGGAUGUGAAAACUCUGGGCUCAACCCAGAGCCUGCAUCCGAAACUGGCAGGCUAGAGUUCUGGAGGGGGUAGCGGAAUUCCUGGUGUAGCGGUGAAAUGCGUAGAUAUGCGGAGGAACACCGAUGGCGAAGGCAAUCCCCUGGACCUGUACUGACGC
rnacentral:rRNA from 1 species